rnacentral:rRNA from 1 species
CACGUAGGGCGCAAGCGUUGUCCGGAAUUAUUGGGCGUAAAGAGCUCGUAGGCGGUUCGUCACGUCGGGAGUGAAAACUCGGGGCUUAACCCCGAGCCUGCUUCCGAUACGGGCAGACUAGAGGUAGGCAGGGGAGAGCGGAACUCCUGGUGUAGCGGUGGAAUGCGCAGAUAUCAGGAAGAACACCGGUGGCGAAGGCGGCUCUCUGGGCCUUACCUGACGCUGAGGAGCGAAAGCGUGGGUAGCGAACAGG